rnacentral:rRNA from 1 species
CAGCCGCCGCGGGAAUACGAAGGGUGCAAGCGUUACUCGGAAUUACUGGGCGUAAAGCGUGCGUAGGUGGUGGUUUAAGUCCGUUGUGAAAGCCCUGGGCUCAACCUGGGAAUUGCAGUGGAUACUGGAUCACUAGAGUGUGGUAGAGGAUAGUGGAAUUUCCGGUGUAGCAGUGAAAUGCGUAGAGAUCGGAAGGAACAUCUGUGGCGAAGGCGACUAUCUGGGCCAACACUGACACUGAGGCACGAAAGCGUGGGAAGCAAACAGGAUUAGAUACCCCGGUAGUCCCUGUCUCUUAUAC